rnacentral:rRNA from 1 species
AUACCUGGCGGCAGGCUUACACAUGCAAGUCGAACGGUAGCAGGAGAAAGCUUGCUUUCUUGCUGACGAGUGGCGGACGGGUGAGUAAUGCUUGGGAAUCUGGCUUAUGGAGGGGGAUAACUACUGGAAACGGUAGCUAAUACCGCGUAACAUCUUCGGAUUAAAGGGUGGGAUCUUCGGACCACUUGCCAUAAGAUGAGCCCAAGUGGGAUUAGGUAGUUGGUGGGGUAAAGGCCUACCAAGCCGACGAUCUCUAGCUGGUCUGAGAGGAUGGCCAGCCACACUGGAACUGAGACACGGUCCAGACUCCUACGGGAGGCAGCAGUGGGGAAUAUUGCACAAUGGGGGGAACCCUGAUGCAGCCAUGCCGCGUGAAUGAAGAAGGCCUUCGGGUUGUAAAGUUCUUUCGGUGAUGAGGAAGGCAGAUAAGUUAAUAGCUUGUUUGAUUGACGUUAGUCACAGAAGAAGCACCGGCUAACUCCGUGCCAGCAGCCGCGGUAAU